rnacentral:ncRNA from 2 species
CCGACUGCGAUGGGAGAACCGGCCUUGCGCCGGUGCCGAAGGAGCAACCGCCCCGGAAACUCUCAGGCCAGACGGACCGUCGCGGCGAC